rnacentral:rRNA from 1 species
AGUGAACGCUGGCGGCGUGCCUAAUACAUGCAAGUCGAACGGAGAUUAAGUAGCUUGCUAUUUAAUCUUAGUGGCGCACGGGUGAGUAAUAUAUAGCUAACUUGCCCAUUACUAAGGGACAACAGUUGGAAACGACUGCUAAUACCUUAUACUCCGUAUCUAUAUAAGUAGAUACGGGAAAGUUUUUCGGUAAUGGAUAGGGCUAUAUCGUAUCAGCUAGUUGGUAAGGUAUUGGCUUACCAAGGCUAUGUCGCGUAACUGGUCUGGGAGGAUGAUCAGUCACACUGGAACUGAGGCACGGUCCAGACUCCUACGGGAGGCAGCAGUAGGGAAUAUUGCUCAAUGGGGGAAACCCUGAAGCAGCAACGCCGCGUGGAGGAUGACACUUUUCGGAGCGUAAACUCCUUUUCUUGGGAAAGAAUUAUGACGGUACCCAAGGAAUAAGCACCGGCUAACUCCGUG